GGGCGAAUGGUCUAGGGGUAUGAUACUCCCUUCGCAUCAUCUAAAAAUGAUUGGAAUAUCGCGUCUGGGAGGGGUCCGGGGUUCAAUUCCCCGUUCGUCCA